rnacentral:rRNA from 1 species
CACUCCUACGGGAGGCAGCAGUGGGGAAUUUUGGACAAUGGGCGAAAGCCUGAUCCAGCCAUGCCGCGUGCAGGAUGAAGGCCUUCGGGUUGUAAACUGCUUUUGUACGGAACGAAACGGCCUUUUCUAAUAAAGAGGGCUAAUGACGGUACCGUAAGAAUAAGCACCGGCUAACUACGUGCCAGCAGCCGCGGUAAUACGUAGGGUGCAAGCGUUAAUCGGAAUUACUGGGCGUAAAGCGUGCGCAGGCGGUUAUGUAAGACAGUUGUGAAAUCCCCGGGCUCAACCUGGGAACUGCAUCUGUGACUGCAUAGCUAGAGUACGGUAGAGGGGGAUGGAAUUCCGCGUGUAGCAGUGAAAUGCGUAGAUAUGCGGAGGAACACCGAUGGCGAAGGCAAUCCCCUGGACCUGUACUGACGCUCAUGCACGAAAGCGUGGGGAGCAAACAGGAUUAGAUACCCCAGUAGUCCCAU